rnacentral:rRNA from 1 species
GAAUAUUGGACAAUGGGCGCAAGCCUGAUCCAGCCAUGCCGCGUGGGUGAUGAAGGCCCUAGGGUUGUAAAGCCCUUUCAGCGGGGAAGAUAAUGACGGUACCCGCCGAAGCAGCCCCGGAUAGCUUCGUGCCAGCAGCCGCGGUAAUACGAAGGGGGCUAGCGUUGCUCGGAAUUACUGGGCGUAAAGCGCACGUAGGCGGCUUUCUAAGUCGGGGGUGAAAUCCUGGAGCUCAACUCCAGAACUGCCUUCGAUACUGGAAAGCUCGAGUCCGGGAGAGGUGAGUGGAACUGCGAGUGUAGAGGUGAAAUUCGUAGAUAUUCGCAAGAACACCAGUGGCGAAGGCGGCUCACUGGCCCGGUACUGACGCUGAGGUGCGAAAGCGUGGGGAGCAAACAGG